GGAUUUCUGUCGUGGUCAUCCGGCUCCGCCUGUAUGGGUGUGCGCCUGGUUUGCCCGCGGCUUUCUUCCGGUAGCCUACCGCGCUUCACUGCGUGCGUUGGUGUUCCCCGGAACUUUUACUUUGAGAAAAAUAGAGUGUUUCAAGCAGGCUUGUCGCCCUGAAUACUUCAGCAUGGAAUAAUAAGAUAGGACCUUGGUUCUAUUUUGUUGGUUUCUAGGACCAAGGUAAUGGUUAAUAGGGACAGUUGGGGGUAUUCGUAUUUAACUGUCAGAGGUGAAAUUCUUAGAUUUGUUAAAGACGAACUACUGCGAAAGCAUUUGCCAAGGAUGUUUUCAUUAAUCAAGAACGACAGUAGGGGGUUUGGAGACGAUUAGAUACCGUCGUAAUCUCUACCAUAAACUAUGCCGACUAGAGAUAGGGAAUGCAUUAUUCCAAUCUUCCCUGCACCUCAUGAGAAAUCAAAGUCUCUGGGUUCUGGGGGGAGUAUGGUCGCAAGGCUGAAACUUAAAG
rnacentral:rRNA from 2 species